rnacentral:rRNA from 1 species
UACGAAGGGUGCAAGCGUUACUCGGAAUUACUGGGCGUAAAGCGUGCGUAGGCGGUUUGUUAAGUCCGCUGUGAAAGCCCUGGGCUCAACCUGGGAAUGGCAGUGGAUACUGGCAAGCUAGAGUGCGGUAGAGGGGUGUGGAAUUCCCGGUGUAGCGGUGAAAUGCGUAGAGAUCGGGAGGAACACCAGUGGCGAAGGCGGCACCCUGGACCAGCACUGACACUGAGGCACGAAAGCGUGGGGAGCAAACAGGG